GGCCUAAUUGAAAUCACAUUAAAAUAAAAAGGAUAAUUUACAAAGAAAGUAGGGCAUAAAAAUAAAGGGGCUAGCGCGUCAUACACGCAAAUUCGCAGGGACCAAAUGGGGAAAUACCCCUAAUCUCAAAACGUCACACUUAAGCACAAACUAGAAUGCAAACAUACUCAAAUUACAGGGCCAAAAUUCAAAAAUGAAGUAAAAUAAAUAGUAUGCGAUUAAAUGCCCAUGUAAAAGAGAAGGACGCAUCGCGCAAAUAUUCCCUCCCCACAACAAAUGCGUGGAUCCUAGGGUAGAGAAUCGGGUCGGGUCGGAUGGUUGCUAUACGAUAUCGUCUCAGUGCCAUUGAUACGGGCUCAAAAUGACACCGUAUUUUGGUCUUAUAAAAGGGCUAAAAUCAGGCCACUUAACAGCAAUACCCUAGCUUCCUUUUCCUCAGCCAACCUCAAUGUAACCCUAGCCCCUCUUAUUGCUCAGCCAAACCCCAAAGGCUUCCCUAGGCACCGAUGCACCACCACGAAUGGCGACCAGCGCUUUCGGAUUCUAAAAGGGUGGCUUUUAGCUUGGAGAUCCCAUUCGAACUUCGAUUUUAGCGAAGUGAAAGGGGAACGAUUGCCGAACGCAAGGUAUUAUCCUUUUUUCUUUUCUCUUUUUGUGAAUAUAAAUGAGGAAAAAUCGGAGGAAAUAAGAAAAUGAGUCGAAAACGGGUAUCAACUUUGAAUAUUGGCUGCUUUUUCUUUGUAUUCAAUAUACGAAUAGUGUCUGUAUUCCUAAGAAAUUACAAUGAACGAAUCCUUUUACUUUAUAGCCGAAAAUAAUAGAAAAAUAAAUAAAAAUACCAAAUUCUUUCUUUACUUUCGUAUUGGAUAUAUGCUGCUGUUGCUCGUUUGUUUUUUUUUGCAGGUACGGGUGCAUGGCGCGUGUACGGGGGUCGUGCUGGCGCUUGGCAUGAGGCGUACGGAGGCGUGCAUGGCUGUCGUACGGGGCUGAAGGCGCAUGGAGGCUGCUGUUGGGGCGCAAAAGGAAAGAGGGUGAGCUAGGGUUUCUGAAACUAUUGGGGAGAUGGGCCUAUUGGGUUUGCUUUGAUUUGGGUUUUAAUAUUAUUUUGGGCUUGUAAUGGAUAUCGGGUCAUGUAAUUGGGUUAAAGCCUGUAAAAGUACAUUUAAUGGACUGUUAUAAUAUUUUUAUUAUAAUAUUUUUUUUGGUUUUGUGUUUGCACUGGCCCGGGCCAAAAUUGGUCAUUACACACACAUUAAAAGUAGUCUUCGUAGAGACAUUUUUCUUGGCCAAGUUCAAAAUAUGCAUGUCAGGUUACCCUUUCGGGCUAAACUUUUAAAAUGACAUCAGGGUACCAGUCCAAAUUAAACCUGUGUCACAUGUAUCUUCGAGUCCACAACAAAUGCUAAAUCUC
rnacentral:lncRNA from 1 species